rnacentral:lncRNA from 1 species
UUACAUUUCUGUUCUUUCUUGUUUUAGUCACCAUUUCCCAUUAAUAUUUAAGAAACGUGUAUAUUUAAAAGCUUUCUGGGGAAAACCUUCAGAAAAAAUUCCUUUACAGUUUUACAACGCCUAUGUCUACCCUCAAUUUUGUGGAAAAUCUUACCAAUGUGAAGACAGAGCGAUAGUUUUUCACAAGUUGAAAGAUACCCCAAAGUUUAUUAUGGCAAGUAGUUCACAUGUAGGCUCAUUACCACAACCCUAAUAUCACAAGGUAAGACCAAGAUACAAAGAUAAGGCUACACUGAAGUGUUAACCUGCCAUGCAGUGGUAAUGGCAACUACAUUUCUUUUUUUCUGUACAUACAAGUUACCCUAUCUUUUCCAACAACCUAUCAAAUACCAUUUAACAGUAGUACAUAAUUAGUGAAGUAGUCUUUGCAAAGUCUUUACAGAAUCAAAACUGAACUCAAUGCACAAUCUACUUGUUUUUCCUAAGCUGGUCGAAUGAUCUUGGUUAGUAUGAUUUAGACAAUUUGGAAUCAAACAAACCAACCAAAAAAACCAUGAAAAAUAUAGUGAUUCCCAUAACAAAUCAGUUUUUCUGCUGUUUUGAGUUUUUGGAAAACAAAGUGAUGAAAGUGCUAAAGCAAACAGGGUGCUAAAGGGCUCAUGUGGUGUGUGCAGACUACCUCUCUCUGCACAGUCUAAUUGGCCUAAACCAUGUCAAGUUAAUGCAGUAUGUUGGCUAUAGAACUUAAGGGCACUGGUGCAGAUCUAAAUCUGGCUCAGAAUCUACUUGAACUUCCUAAACAUCUCUGGGCAGCAAGUCCAUUAUAAGCAUGUUCUAGAGCAUCCAGAUAUUCAACCAUGGCCAAAGCAAGGCCUCUUAAAUAGAAUCCUAAGGUCCAUUUAAUGGUGGUUUGGAAAGAAUGUGGUUGAAAUACUAAGGCUAUGCUUGUAUCCACAACGAAGUUCAGAAAACUUAAAAAAAAGAAAAAAAAAGAAAAAGAAAAAGAAAAAACCCUUACACUUGAAUGGUCAAGUGUAAUUCUGAGCUUUAGCUACCAAAAUUAAGAAAAGGUUUGGCCCUUAUGCAUUCACAUCCUUGCUCAAUAAACAAACAAAACACAAAUAUGAGUUUCCUUCUCUAGAACUAGUUUUCGUCCCUAAAAAUGGAGAUUCAA